rnacentral:rRNA from 1 species
GAUGAACGCUGGCGGCGUGCCUAAUACAUGCAAGUCGAGCGAACAGACGAGGAGCUUGCUCCUCUGACGGUAGCGGCGGACGGGUGAGUAACACGUGGAUAACCUACCUAUAAGACUGGGAUAACUUCGGGAAACCGGAGCUAAUACCGGAUAAUAUAUUGAACCGCAUGGUUCAAUAGUGAAAGACGGUUUUGCUGUCACUUAUAGAUGGAUCCGCGCCGCAUUAGCUAGUUGGUAAGGUAACGGCUUACCAAGGCAACGAUGCGUAGCCGACCUGAGAGGGUGAUCGGCCACACUGGAACUGAGACACGGUCCAGACUCCUACGGGAGGCAGCGGUAGGGAAUCUUCCGCAAGGGGGGAAAGCCUGACGGAGCACCGCCGCGUGAGUGAUGAAGGUCUUCGGAUCCUAAAACUCUGUUAUUAGGAAGGAAGUAAAGUGUAAGUACCUAUGCACGUAUUGACGGUACCUAAUCAGAAAGCCACGGCUAACUACGUG